ACUUAAAACUCAAAGGACUUGGCGGUGUCCCACAUUCGACCUAGAGGAGCCUGUCCUAUAAUCGAUACUCCUCGCUCUACCUUACCAGCACUAGCAUUAAACUCAGCCUAUAUACCGCCGUCGACAGCCUACCCCCUGAGGGUUAAACAGUAAGCACAAUAGUCUCACCACUAAUACGUCAGGUCAAGGUGUAGCUAAUGUGCUGGCAGAGAUUGGCUACAUUUUUUGUCUUAAAAAAUACGAAAUGCUACAUGAAAAACAGCAUGAAGGCGAAUUUAGUAGUAAAGCAGACA
rnacentral:rRNA from 1 species